UUGGUCUCUACUCGUCGAAAAAACUAAAAUUAAAAGAAAUUAAAUUAAGUGGAAAAAUCGGAAGCUUUCAUUAAUGAAAAUAAAGUCUUAAGAAAUUCACGUCAUCAUUCGAUAGAUAUAGUCUAAACGGUCGAAAAUCUAGGUGAUACUGAAUAGUGUUUUAACCUCUAAAUCAGGGUUUUAACCUCUAAAUCAGCACAUGCUCAAGGGUUGAGGAGAAAUUUCUCGAUUUAUCUCCAGAUAAACAUGCAGGAUCCUUACCGAAUUGACGGAUUGAAUUUGAAUCCUUCUUCUAUUGAAUGAUAGAGGUUUCGUGGAUAAAUUCCUUCGUGAUUUGAUUGACAGCGGUCGCGUGAUAAACACUGAUAAUGAAAUUGAAAUAUUCUAUCGUUCUAUCGAUGGGAUUUCUUAUGAGCCUGUGAGCUUGAUGGCUUGAAAUCGAAGGAGGAACAAUGACAAAACUCAACUGAGCUCGACUGAUUUGUCAGUGUGAUUUUACAAAUCUAAGAAUGAAUAUAUCCUAACAUUACAAAUCUAACA